GAGAAAAGAGAGGCGUGAGCUGCUGUGUUGUUCUUCUUCUCUGUUCUUGUGCGUCUUGUGCAUCUUGGCUGCUAUGUGGCUGUGUUUGCUCUCUGAGUUCGAUGUGCGGUGUCUCUACGGUGAAGUCAGGUUGCUGCCAAGAUGCAAACAUUGAGAAAUAUCGCAGACUACAUUGUGAGAAUAUGUAUCUGUAAACCUUCUGGAGUCAGUCAGAACUAUGGAGCCAUAUUCAUGCCACAAGUUCUAACUGAUUCAUUUCUUAGAUACUUUUCCCAAUUGUAUGAUAUAUGAUUCUGUUUUUAACUCAUUUCCCUUUAGAGUUAUAAUUCUAGUGUUCAAAUUGUACUCUCUCGCUAAUUCGUUUCUUUUUCUUUUCCUUGUCAUUUAUCGAAGGAAACAAAAAUGAGUACUGUUGUGCUUUUCUUUACUUGUUGUCGUGUAUCCUUAAGAACCAGAGUGUAGAGAAUAUAGGUUUUUAGUUAUUUUGUGAUGUUUUCCAUCAACAACAACUAACUUCUAUAUCAUAUUUAUUUUAUUAUAAAAUUUUGCAUCUUAA